rnacentral:rRNA from 1 species
UAAUACGAAGGGGGCUAGCGUUGCUCGGAAUUACUGGGCGUAAAGGGCGCGUAGGCGGCUCUGUUAGUCAGGCGUGAAAGCCCUGGGCUCAACCUGGGGACUGCGCUUGAUACGGCAGGGCUUGAGGGCAGAAGAGGCUCGCGGAAUUCCCAGUGUAGAGGUGAAAUUCGUAGAUAUUGGG